rnacentral:rRNA from 1 species
CAGCCGUAAACUAUGCGCGUUAGGUGUACUGGUGACCACGAGUCACCGGGUGCCGAAGGGAAACCGUGAAACGUGCCGCCUGGGAAGUACGGUCGCAAGGCUGAAACUUAAAGGAAUUGGCGGGGGAGCACCACAUCGGGUGGAGCCUGCGGUUUAAUUGGACUCAACGCCGGAAAUCUCACCGGAUAGGACAGACAUAUGAUAGUCGGGCUGAAGACUCUACUUGAUGAUCUGAGAGGUGGUGCAUGGCGUCAGUGACU